GGUUUGUUUUGGGAUCUGAGAAGAGUAUGAGGAGGAGUGAAAAUAGAGGAGGGCUUACGGAGAGUGGCGGGGGCCAUUUUGGUGCUGCUGGACCAGACAUUGGUGGUGGGUUUGUCUUCUUCGGCGGAAGAAGGUGGAGGUAGGUCACCGUAUAACCCACCCAGCAUUUCGAUGGCGGGGGCCAUUUUGGUGCUGCUGGACCAGACAUUGGUGGUGGGUUUGUCUUCUUCGGCGGAAGAAGGUGGAGGUAGGUCACCGUAUAACCCACCCAGCAUUUCGAAGCUCGGAACCAAAAUCAAAGAUAGCGGCAAUAACAAAACACUGCGUUCGGGAUUAGGGAUUGAUAGGAUGGAGCAAAACGGAGAUACUCCCUACGGCUAUCCGUAGCUGCCACUAAAUCAACGACUGUCUCGACGGCUCGAUUGUUCCUUCUUCAUCAUUUCAUGCUAGAGGUUUAUGAUUUUGUUUAAUAUCUUUUUGACGCUAGGUUUAUGAUUUUUAUUUUUUUAGUUUCAUAUUGUGGAUUUUUUACCUAAU
rnacentral:lncRNA from 1 species